UAGAGAAAACCGCGUAACAGUUUCAUUUCAAUUGCAUCUUGGCCGUCAAAUUUUCCUCCAUACGCGAUUACACACCGUUAAUCCCGAUCCUACCUUCUAUAUAAACCUCGUUUCCCAUCAUUCCGAAAUACCAAAAAUAGCUUGUUAUAUUUUUCUCUUGUUUGUUCUUCUUUUAAGUUCUACUCGUUUGCUUGAUGAAUUUGAUUUAUUGCUAACAGGAAGAUUGUUAGGGAUUUGCGUAUUGAUAUGCUUUUUGGAUUGUAGAUAUCGAGAAUUUUUGGAUAUGAUUUUUCAUUGGAUAAUCAAGACAUUGUUUAUCUGUUUUGCCGCGAUUUGGGAUAUUUGAUGCAAUGGAUAAGAACGGAGAACGCCUUAUUUAGGGUUUGUUGAUCGUGUUUUCUUAAUGGUUUUGCGUUGCGUUUCUCAGAUUGCUGAUUGAUGAUCGUGUUUCCGUAAUGGAUUUCGUUGCAUCGUGUUUUCUUAAUGGAUUUCGUUGCGGCUUGAUUCAUUUUCUUAGAUUGCUGAUCGUGUUUACUUGAUGGAUUUGCGUUGCGUCAGGUUGCUGAACGUGUUUUCGUAAUGGAUUUGCGUUGCUGAUCGUGUUUUCUUAAUGGAAUUAGUUUUCUUAGAUUGCUGAUCGUAUUUUCUUAAUGGAUUUGCGCUGUAUCUUAUAUGUUUUCUUAGAUUGCUGAUCGUGUUUACUUGAUAGAUUUGCGUUGCGUCAGGUUGCUGAUAGUGUUUUCUUAAUGGAUUUUCUUCAUAUCUAAAACCUUAAGAACAGAGAACACAGCUCCAGAUAGAUAAAUUUAACUUCUACAACGAGUCUUUUUCUUUUCUUUUUUUCGCCUUUAUUGCCCGACAUGCAAAUUGAAUUUCGAACAUGUUUUGCUGCAGCAGCAGCUUGCUUUGUCAAAACAAUAACCUUCUUCAAAGCAUGCAUCAGCCUGGCUUUUUGAUUUGGUGAUAUCUAUAAAAUAAUUUUUGUUUUCAAAUCUGAGAGCGUAUUUUUCUUGAACUUGUCUUUUGAUCUUGUAUAAGUUGUUGAAGUUUGUGUUUCUUUCGUGUUGAGGUUUUUGUGUUUCUGUUAUCAGGGACUUAGAUCUUUGGCUAAGUGCAAAUUAUGGAAUUAGAUACCAUCUUUGAACCUUUAAUACAGCCCAAGCACUUCUCAGUGUCAUGUGUCAGAUACUGAUGCUUCCUACUAUGGCUGCACUUUAAUUUGGUCAUCACUACCAAGACUUUUACGCUUUAGUCUUUGUUUGAUUUGAUACACAACAUCUACUUUUUUCGGAUUCUUUGAGCUGUGUGAGUUUUGCAGGGAGAUGCAUUUAUCCCGUUUCGCAGAAAGCUGAGAAAUGUGGUGGAUAUCCAGAAUGCCUUGAUACAACAACCAGAACGGAAAAUAACUCCAGAUAGCUAAAUCAAUUUUUUAUGGGUCAUUCUUUACUAUUUUUAUUUCCGGUCUUUGAUUGCAAGGCAUACAAGUUGAUUUCUGAACGUGUUUUUCUGCAGCGUGGUUGUGUCCAACUAAUAACCUUCUUCAGAGCAUGGAGUUUAGCAUUUCAAUUUUUGAUUUGGUGAUCUCCAUUAAAUUCUUUUUAUAUUGAUUAUAUUUUUGGUUCUGAAACCAUAUCUUCUUUGAUUUGGUGUUUACUCUCUGGUGUUGCAGGAUAGUUAAUAUGUUAACAGACGAUUUCUUCUAGUUCUAUUUUCCUCUUGUUUGAUCUUCAUGGCGGUUGAUUUUUUGCUUUCUUGAUUCUUAGGUUUGAUUUGGUUUUUGUUAGUUUUGACCUUGGAAGUUACUGUCUACUAUUAUUUUGUUAGGGUUUUAAAUGAUUGUUCUUUUGUGUCAACUAUUAUCCCUCGGUUGAUUUCUGUACAUAUGGGUGUUUUGCGUUUAAUUUGUUGGCAGCACUUAUUGGCAAAAUCUGGAGUUUUGGUUUGAAUUUUCUGUCUUAAGGUUGCAGAUUGAUAUCAAAUAAUGUGGUCAAAGUACUCCAGUGUAUUGUGUUAUUUCAUAUGGGCACAUAGUCUUGCAAAUUGGAUGGAAGUUUAACUUAAUCUUUUUUCUUCGAAGGCAUGUCUUGCUAUAGUUGGAGUUGUCGUGUUUCUGCAUCAGGAAUGUGAAUAUAUGAAGCAUACAAAAUUCUAAAGUACAUAUUAUGGACAACAUGGUUUGGCAUUCUAUUGUUCGGGGGUUAUUUGCCUGUUAUAAUUAUUUUCCCUAUUUUCUUUUCAAUUGUGUUAUAUCUGAGCAGAAAAAUAAGAUUUUCCCCCCCAAAUGAGUGUCCCCCACAAAAUCUGUAAUUGCAGCAGCACCAGAAUCUGCAAUUUGCUGCUGCUGUUGUUCUUUCAUGUUGUGAUCCUCAGAUUGAAUUCUUGCACGACUUCUAUGUUGGCGUCACAGGAGUUUGACUUCUCUUAGUAAGGCAUGGUAAAAUAAUGUUCUUAAUAGUUCAGAGAUUCUCUUGUCACUUUCCGUUUCAGUAUUUCUUUAUCAAUUCUGAGAGCAUAUAUUUGUUGAUUUGUUAUCUUCCUCUUUGGUGUUACAGGAGAUGUAAUAUAUAUGAUCACAAUUCCUUCGGAUUCAAUCUUCCUCUUUGAUAUUCAAGUUUUUAUAUUCCUACUCUCUCUUUUCCUUGGUUACAUUGGGUCUUAUGAUGAAGGGUUUUGAUCUGGUUCUUGCUGGUUUUGAUCUUGGAGUUUGCUCUUCUUUUUUUAAUGGUCUUGUUUGGGUUUUAAUUGAUUGUUCUUUGAAUUCUAUUUUGAUAAUUUGUGUAGUUUUUCUAUUUAAUAAUGCUUCAUUUGAUAAACAUUCAAUGCUGUCAAAAUUAAAAGAAUAUUGACAUGUGAUUAUCUGUAUUGCAGCGAGCUGAUUUCGAGGUAUCUGGAUCAGUUUGCAAUUCUUGAUUACAAUGGAUAAGAACGACUAUGAUUGCAAUUCUUUAUUAUUUUUAUUUUCAGACUUUGAUCACAAAACAUACAAUUUGAAAUCUAAACCUGUUUUUUUGCAGCUUUAUUUGCUAGUAUAAGUUUCAAUAUAUCAUGGAUCCUGCGUUUUGUUUUGGUGAUCUCUUUUAAAAUCUCUAAGUUUUCUAAAACUCUUUAUUCCUUUUGAAAUAAAUAUUAUUCUUGAUCUUCUAUUUUCUCUGGUGUGUUUCAGGAAAAGUAGUUUGUGAGCAUAUUAUUCUUCGGGUUUUGUAUUAUGGUUCCUUUAUGGUUUCUUGAUAUUGGGGUUUCAUUUUGUUCUGGAUUUUAUUGCCAUACAUGUGAAUUGAAAUAUGGCUCUAGUUUUUUUGGUACUGAGAUUCUUUCAUUUGAUUUCUUCUCUGCUGAUUCUGUUUGUCUAUUGAUCUUUAAUUGAAAAGAACAGUCUUAAGGGUUUUUAACAUCAUUACUACUUUUGUCUUACAAAUGUUCUACAUUUGGGUUUUUGUAUUCAGAAAGUGCGAAAGUUUACAUAAUUUUCUAGACGUUUGGAAAAAUUGGUGCGCCUCUCUCUGUUAUCCGGAUCUGCAACUUGGUUUGGAGAGUUAUGCUAUAUUCUUUCUUUCUUCUUGGUUCCUUUUUCUACAACCUAUCUGGCAGUUUAAUUUUUCUCUACAUUUAUCGUAUGUUGCUGACAGAGAAACUUUGCUGUACAACAGAAGUUUUCUUAAUUCUGAAUCACACUCACAUUUUUAUUUGGUCUAUAGUGGAGAAAUUGGAGAUGAGUGUCUCUGCUGCUUUGUAUAAAUUAUCUUUGGUGAAUGAAUUCUUGACGACUUGAUUUGGCUCACUGUUUUCUACAUUCUCCCAAGUGGAUAUUUAUCGAAGUGGGGAUGCCGAAAUUUUUUCCGUUUCAUAUGGACUGUGUAUAUUUGUUCCACAUUAGUCCUCCCUUGAUUGCAUGCACAACAUUGCUGAACAGAAUUGUGGAGCAUAUCUCUUCUCGCUGCGGCCUUGUCCGUUUUUAAUCAAAUUGUGGCCGUGUUUGAUUUGAUGAUCUACAUCUAAAGAGAGUUAUUCUUGCACUCUUUUACUGUUUGUUUCUUUUAUUUCUGAUAUAUUGGAAUAGGAAUUCGUUUCCUCUCUAAGGAUUUCAUCGGGCACCAGAAUUCAUUAUUAGAACCAUCAUGUUCUGCAGACUGUAAGACAAUCUCUAAGGAAUUCGAGUCAUAAACGUUUCUGUAGAAAACUUGUUUCAUUUUGUAGAGUGAGCAGCGUGGUUUGGGAAAGUAUCUCCAUCCGGUGUUUGUUAGUGGAUACAGUACACAUCUUUAAGCGCAAGAUAUAUUAUCAGAUGAUUGACAAAAGCAGUUUUGGUAUAUAAUUAUCAGAUGAUAGCCCAUUAUAUAACAAUAUAUAUAAUAUACAUCUUUAAUUUUGGAGUAUGCCAUUCCUUUAUUUAUGAUGCUUACUGGAUUAGUCAAAAGUUCAUUAAGACUUGCAGCAAUCUUUAUGUGUAAUCUAUUCUAGACGUUCAGUCUGCUCAAUAUUGGUAAACGGACUAGAACACCGGCCCUCUUUCAUCUCAGCGGUUGAUCUACAACUACUUGGUAGUCUACACUUCAUGCUAGACAAACCAAAGAUGAGUAGUAUCUCUACUAUAUACGUGUGAUUCUGCGUCACAAUCAGGUAUUUUUUUAUUUAUAUUUGUAAAGUUUUACCUUAUUCAUAUACUAACUUGAGCGUCGGAGUGCUAACCUUUUUUUGCAGGUACCCCUCUGACCCCAAAACGAAAGUCUUACCGCGGUAGUUGUCUUUGACUUCAGCCUUACAUUGUUUCAGUAUGGAAUAGUUAUAAUUGAAUGUUCUAAAUCUUCUUCAUACACCUAUUGAAGUUAAUUAAUUUAAUUUUUUUAUUAAAUUAUGUUGUAAUAUUUUCUUUUAUUAUGUUUUGUGUUUGAUUAGCAUACUUAGGAAUUGAAAUAUGAAUUUGUUUCAAGCAUGAAGUCUAUUUUGAAACAAUAAUAUAAAGGUUUUGAUACACUAAUCUUAAACUGUGAAUUUUAAGAUCCUUCACUUGGUUUGAGCUAAUUGUCCAUCCUUAUGCAUGAACAUAACUAAAAAAUUUCUUUAACAUAGAAAUCCUAUUUAUCUGAAUUGCCUUAGAAUCACUACACAACAAACCUGAAUUUUACGGUUUCCUAGUUUUUUGGUUAGUUCUAGAUCUACCGAGUACUCUUGAUUAUGUUUGAGAUUAUUCUUGUGAUAUCUGCUGGUCAUUUCAGGGUAGAUAGCCCGACUGUAUGCCGGGUUUUGAAGCUUCAGUGGAGAUUAUCAAAAACCUUGUUUACUAGUUUCUUAUAUAGUAAGAAAGUCCUCUUUUAAAUGGAUAUUAUUUUUGCAGCAGAGGCAACACAAUAUAUGAGAACGCUUAUGAAUGUAUAAUGAGUUGUUAAAGUUACAUUUGGGGUUACAUUAAAUCUUGGAAUAAAAUGAAUCAAUUUUCUGUGUA